rnacentral:rRNA from 1 species
UUUCCGGUUGAUCCUGCCGGACCUGUCUGCUAUCGGAUUGGUACUAAGCCAUGUGAGUCGUUGCAGCAAUGCAAGGCAGACGGCUCAGUAACACGUAGUCAACCUAACCUAUGGACGGGGAUAACCUCGGGAAACUGAGAAUAAUACCCGAUAGAUCAUGAUACCUGGAACGGUUUAUGGUCCAAAUGAUUUAUCGCCAUAGGAUGGGACUGCGGUCUAUCAGCUUGUUGGUGAGGUAAUGGCCCACCAAGGCUAUAACAGAUACCGGGCUCUGAGAGGGGGGGCCCGGAGAUGGGUACUGAGACACGGACCCAGGUCCUAUGGGGCGCAGCAGGCGAGAAACCUUUGCAAUGUGUGAAAGCACGACAAGGUUAAUCCGAGUGAUUCCUGCUAAGGAAUCUUUUGUUAGUCAUAAAACCACUGAUGAAUAAGGGGUGGGCAAGUUCUGGUGUCAGCCGCCGCGGUAAUACCAGCACCUCGAGUGGUCAGGAGGUUUAUUGGGCCUAAAGCAUCCGUAGCCGGCUGUUCAAGUUUCCGGUUAAAUCCACACGCUUAACGUAUGGGCUGCCGGAAAUACUGUUCAGCUAGGGAGUGGGAGAGGUAGACGGUACUCGAUAGGUAGGGGUAAAAUCCUUUGAUCUAUUGAUGACCACCUGUGGCGAAAGGCGGUCUACCAGAACACGUUCGACGGUGAGGGAUGAAAGCUGGGGGAGCAAACCGGAUUAGAUACCCGGGUAGUCCCAGCUGUAAACGAUGCAGACUCGGUGAUGCAUUGGCUUGUGGCCAGUGCAGUGCCGCAGGGAAGCCGUUAAGUUUGCCGCCUGGGAAGUACGUACGCAAGUAUGAAACUUAAAGGAAUUGGCGGGGGAGCACCACAAGGGGUGAAGCCUGCGGUUCAAUUGGAGUCAACGCCGG